rnacentral:rRNA from 1 species
UUGACCUCGGAUCAGGUAGGAGUUACCCGCUGAACUUAAGCAUAUCAAUAAGCGGAGGAAAAGAAACCAACCGGGAUUGCCUCAGUAACGGCGAGUGAAGCGGCAAGAGCUCAAAUUUGAAAUCUGGCCCCCUCGGGGUCCGAGUUGUAAUUUGCAGAGGAUGCUUCGGGUGCGGUCCCCAUCUAAGUGCCCUGGAACGGGCCGUCAUAGAGGGUGAGAAUCCCGUCUGGGAUGGGCGGCCGCGCCCGUGUGAAGCUCCUUCGACGA